AUGUCUCCAAAAUGGCCAAAAAUGGCAUCAAAAUGGCCAAAAAUGGCCAAAGAUGGCAUCAAAAUGAUACGAAAUGACCCAAAAUGCACCAAAAUGGCCCCAAAAUGGCCCAAAAUGUCUCAAAAUGCCCCAAAAUGUUUCAAAAUGGCCCAAAAUUGCCCCAAAAUGGCACCAAAAUGGCACCAAAAUGUCCCAAAAAUGUCCCAAAAUGGCACCAAAUGGCACCAAAAUGUCCCCAAAAUGGCCCAAAAUGGCCCCAAAAUGGCCCCAAAAUGCCCCAAAAUGGCCCAAAAAUGUCACAAAAUUGCCCCAAAAAACCCAGAAAAAAAAUCUCUAAAAAACAUGGAAAAAAUCCCCAAAAAUUCCCAAAAAAAUCCCCAAAAAUUCCCAAAAAAUCCCCAAAAAUUCCCAAAAAAAUCCCAAAAAUUCCCCAAAAAAUCCCAAAAAAUAAAAAAAAAUUCCCAAAAAUUCCCAAAAAUUCCCAAAAAUUCCCCAAAAAAUCCCCAAAAUUCCAAAAAAAAUCCCAAAAAAUCCCAAAAAAAUCCCAAAAAAUCCCAAAAAUUCCCAAAAAUUCCCAAAAAAAUCCCAAAAAUUCCCCCAAAAAAACCAAAAAAAUCCCAAAAAAUCCCAAAAAUUCCCAAAAAAAUCCCAAAAAUUCCCCCAAAAAAUCCCAAAAAAUCCCCAAAAUUCCCAAAAAUUCCAAAAAAAAUCCCAAAAAUUCCCCAAAAAAUCCCAAAAAUUCCCAAAAAUUCCCAAAAAAAUCCCAAAAAUUCCCCAAAAAAAUCCCAAAAAUUCCCAAAAAUUCCUGAAUUGUCCCAGAAUGGUCCCCAAGUGUCCCCAAAAUCCCCAAACCCUCCUGGAACCCCUAAAAAAAUCCCCCAAAAAUCCAUAAAAAACCCUAAAAAUCCCCAAAAAAUAAAAAAAAAAUCCAAAAAAAUCCAAAAAAAAUUCCAAAAAAAUAAAAAAAAAAUCUGGAAAAAUUCCCAAAAAUUCCUAAAAAGUCUGGAAAAAUUCCCAAAAAUUCCUGAAUUGUCUCUGCAUCUCCAAAGCAUCUCCAAACCCUCCUGGAACCCCUAA
rnacentral:lncRNA from 1 species